rnacentral:lncRNA from 1 species
UGGGUGGGUGGUUGAGCACUGUGAUGGGGGGAAGUGGCUGACUGUGUGGCUCAUUGGCUGGCUGCUUCCUGAUGGGGCUGCAUCAAGUCUCCCAUUUCCACUUUGGCUAAGAGUUUGCUGAAAGGAAAGUAGAACUUGGCUGGAAGACAGAAUUAUGAAGAGACCAGAUAUAGAGUGAGAAAGAAAAAAAAAGUCCAUCCUUUGGGCUGAGCUAUUUCUAGCAUGAAAACAGGCCAACGCACUGGUUAGUAUGCUAAAGACAGCCACCAAGGAAGUGUAAAGUCCAAGAAGAAAUGUCCCAAGUAUCAACCACACAGACCAACACCUUCUCUUGUCCUUGGAAUUACAAAGAAAAGAGCACAGCCAAAUUGACAAGAAAGUCAGGAAAUAGAUGGGCAAUGCUGUGUGAGGGGCACAGUGAUUGAAAUGUCAGCAUCUAAUAGAAGCCUGCAGGAAGAUGUUGUCAAGUUUGUCUUGUUAGGGCAUGGAGAUCUAGAGUGGAUUGUUACGAGAACAAUUUUUUUUGUUGUUAACGAAAAAAUUAAGCAAUUUUUUAUAUCAUGUGUACCACAUUUUUGAUGACAACGGUCUAUUAUUUAUACUGAUAACUAAGUAAAAGUCUAACUAUUCUGCUGGUUUCAUUGGCUGGUUUGGUUGU